rnacentral:sRNA from 1 species
GGUAUUUUUUAUUUAAUAACUAUCAUACUCGCUGGUUUACCAGUCAUAAAACUCCCGCAAACUCAUUCAUUAUCAAACGCUCAACCAGUCGUUCAAAACGCAUGAAACGCUUGAAACAGCAACCACCCGUUUCCGCAAACUCCCGCAACCGCACCCGCACCCGCUACAUUUAAAGCAGUCAGGCCCUGAGUUCAGAAGGUUCAAAUGACUACAUACUUAGGAAAAAAGUUAAAUGUACUUAUGACUCUUUUUUU